rnacentral:rRNA from 1 species
AUUGAACGCUGGCGGAAUGCUUUACACAUGCAAGUCGAACGGUAGAGGGGGCAACCCCUCGAGAGUGGCGAACGGGUGAGUAAUAUAUCGGAACGUGCCCAGUCGUGGGGGAUAACGUAGCGAAAGUUACGCUAAUACCGCAUACGAUCUAAGGAUGAAAGCGGGGGACUCGCAAGAGCCUCGCGCGAUUGGAGCGGCCGAUAUCAGAUUAGGUAGUUGGUGGGGUAAAGGCUCACCAAGCCAACGAUCUGUAGCUGGUCUGAGAGGACGACCAGCCACACUGGAACUGAGACACGGUCCAGACUCCUACGGGAGGCAGCAGUGGGGAAUUUUGGACAAUGGGCGCAAGCCUGAUCCAGCAAUGCCGCGUGCAGGAAGAAGGCCU